GAUGAACGCUGGCGGCGUGCCUAAUACAUGCAAGUCGAGCGAACUGAUUAGAAGCUUGCUUCUAUGACGUUAGCGGCGGACGGGUGAGUAACACGUGGGCAACCUGCCUGUAAGACUGGGAUAACUUCGGGAAACCGAAGCUAAUACCGGAUAGAAUCUUCUCCUUCAUGGGAGAUGAUUGAAAGAUGGUUUCGGCUAUCACUUACAGAUGGGCCCGCGGUGCAUUAGCUAGUUGGUGAGGUAACGGCUCACCAAGGCAACGAUGCAUAGCCGACCGGAGAGGGUGAUCGGCCACACUGGGGCUGAGACACGGCCCAGACUCCUACGGGAGGCAGCAGUAGGUAAUCGUCCGCAAUGGACGAAAGUCUGACGGAGCAACGCCGCGUGAGUGAUGAAGGCUUUCGGGUCGUAAAACUCUGUUGUUAGGGAAGAACAAGUACGAGAGUAACUGCUCGUACCUUGACGGUACCUAACCAGAAAGCCACGGCUAACUACGUGCCAGCAGCCGCGGUAA
rnacentral:rRNA from 1 species